rnacentral:rRNA from 1 species
UGGUGGAGUGAUUUGUCUGGUUAAUUUCGGUAACGAGCGAGACCUCAGCGUACUAAUUAGAUAUAAGAAUCUUCGGAUUCUAAAUCAAUAUCUUCUUAGAGGGACUAUCGGUGCGUAGCCGAUGGAAGUUUGAGGCAAUAACA